rnacentral:rRNA from 1 species
GGACCCGCACAAGCGGUGGAUGAUGUGGAUUAAUUCGAUGCAACGCGAAGAACCUUACCAGGGUUUGACAUCCUGCGAAUCUCUUGGAAACAGGAGAGUGCCUUCGGGAACGCAGUGACAGGUGGUGCAUGGCUGUCGUCAGCUCGUGUCGUGAGAUGUUGGUUAAGUCCCGCAACGAGCGCAACCCACGUCUUUAGUUGCCAGCAUUUAGUUGGGCACUCUAGAGAGACUGCCGGUGAUAAACCGGAGGAAGGUGUGGAUGACGUCAAGUCAUCAUGCCCCUUACAUCCUGGGCUACACACGUACUACAAUGCUACGGACAAAGGGCAGCAAACUCGCGAGAGC